AGAGUUUGAUCCUGGCUCAGGACGAACGCUGGCGGCGUGCCUAAUACAUGCAAGUCGAACGAACUCUGGUAUUGAUUGGUGCUUGCAUCAUGAUUUACAUUUGAGUGAGUGGCGAACUGGUGAGUAACACGUGGGAAACCUGCCCAGAAGCGGGGGAUAACACCUGGAAACAGAUGCUAAUACCGCAUAACAACUUGGACCGCAUGGUCCGAGCUUGAAAGAUGGCUUCGGCUAUCACUUUUGGAUGGUCCCGCGGCGUAUUAGCUAGAUGGUGGGGUAACGGCUCACCAUGGCAAUGAUACGUAGCCGACCUGAGAGGGUAAUCGGCCACAUUGGGACUGAGACACGGCCCAAACUCCUACGGGAGGCAGCAGUAGGGAAUCUUCCACAAUGGACGAAAGUCUGAUGGAGCAACGCCGCGUGAGUGAAGAAGGGUUUCGGCUCGUAAAACUCUGUUGUUAAAGAAGAACAUAUCUGAGAGUAACUGUUCAGGUAUUGACGGUAUUUAACCAGAAAGCCACGGCUAACUACGUGCCAGCAGCCGCGGUAAUACGUAGGUGGCAAGCGUUGUCCGGAUUUAUUGGGCGUAAAGCGAGCGCAGGCGGUUUUUUAAGUCUGAUGUGAAAGCCUUCGGCUCAACCGAAGAAGUGCAUCGGAAACUGGGAAACUUGAGUGCAGAAGAGGACAGUGGAACUCCAUGUGUAGCGGUGAAAUGCGUAGAUAUAUGGAAGAACACCAGUGGCGAAGGCGGCUGUCUGGUCUGUAACUGACGCUGAGGCUCGAAAGUAUGGGUAGCAAACAGGAUUAGAUACCCUGGUAGUCCAUACCGUAAACGAUGAAUGCUAAGUGUUGGAGGGUUUCCGCCCUUCAGUGCUGCAGCUAACGCAUUAAGCAUUCCGCCUGGGGAGUACGGCCGCAAGGCUGAAACUCAAAGGAAUUGACGGGGGCCCGCACAAGCGGUGGAGCAUGUGGUUUAAUUCGAAGCUACGCGAAGAACCUUACCAGGUCUUGACAUACUAUGCAAAUCUAAGAGAUUAGACGUUCCCUUCGGGGACAUGGAUACAGGUGGUGCAUGGUUGUCGUCAGCUCGUGUCGUGAGAUGUUGGGUUAAGUCCCGCAACGAGCGCAACCCUUAUUAUCAGUUGCCAGCAUUAAGUUGGGCACUCUGGUGAGACUGCCGGUGACAAACCGGAGGAAGGUGGGGAUGACGUCAAAUCAUCAUGCCCCUUAUGACCUGGGCUACACACGUGCUACAAUGGAUGGUACAACGAGUUGCGAACUCGCGAGAGUAAGCUAAUCUCUUAAAGCCAUUCUCAGUUCGGAUUGUAGGCUGCAACUCGCCUACAUGAAGUCGGAAUCGCUAGUAAUCGCGGAUCAGCAUGCCGCGGUGAAUACGUUCCCGGGCCUUGUACACACCGCCCGUCACACCAUGAGAGUUUGUAACACCCAAAGUCGGUGGGGUAACCUUUUAGGAACCAGCCGCCUAAGGUGGGACAGAUGAUUAGGGUGAAGUCGUAACAAGGUAGCCGUAGGAGAACCUGCGGCUGGAUCACCUCCUUU
rnacentral:rRNA from 1 species